rnacentral:rRNA from 1 species
UACGGAGGAUGCAAGCGUUAUCCGGAAUGAUUGGGCGUAAAGCGUGCGCAGGCGGUUUUGUAAGUCUGUCGUGAAAGCCCCGGGCUCAACCUGGGAAUUGCGAUGGAGACUGCAAGGCUUGAAUCUGGCAGAGGGGGGUAGAAUUCCACGUGUAGCAGUGAAAUGCGUAGAGAUGUGGAGGAAUACCGAUGGCGAAGGCAGCCCCCUGGGAUAACACUGACGCUCAUGCACGAAAGCGUGGGGAGCAAACAGG